UGGCACAGCACCAAGGACACCUGCAAUGCCUGCAGCCCAGCCUCCGACACCAGUGUCUUCCCAAGGCUCUCAGUUUCCUGGCAGAGCACUGCGUCCACCUCCAGUGCCCGCAGCUAAGACUCCGGCAGCAGUGUCUUCCCAAGGCUCCGAGCUUCCUGGUACAGCACUACGACCAUCUCCAGUGCCUGCAGCUAAGUCUCCAGCAGCAUUGUCUUCCCAA